UUUUUAAUUCAUUUCUAUUAUUUUCAGUACAGUAAAACUAUCUCUAUUGAAUGCUUUGCACACUCUUCAAUUGUAUGGAAUGGUUGUUCUGCAAUCUUGAAGGAGUUCAGAGGUCACUGUGUUCACUGUGUUGAUUUGGGCUCCUCAGCCACCGGGCCACUGACCAGUAUGGGGCUGUGGAUAAUCUGUAAUGAAGCCCCACACUUGCAGAAUAACUCCACCAGUGGUUCAGAUUUC